rnacentral:lncRNA from 1 species
AUAACCUUCUCUGUCUGCCUGUCUCUCUUUUUUUGAGGACUGCAUAUUUCUGGAAAGCUGAUUUCUAUGCAUAGCAUGUGUAGACAUAACCAGCAAUGAAGAUUUUAGUCUCAUUAAGUUUUUGUGCACAGAAAGAUGGGGGUCUUUGGCUCUUUACUAAAGACUUGGAGAACCGGAUGUUGAUGCUGUAAAAGUUCCCUAACAAUCAAUCUUGUACUUUUUGUAUGUUUUUAUAUACAUGUGUAUUUAAUGAGCACAAGCUUGGUUGUAUUUUUUACGAUUCAGUUGAUAGGAAAAUGUUUUAAGGCUAUAGUUGGCAUUGAUCAAAGCAGAAGCAAAAUUGAGCAUUGUUAUUUUGUGAUUUAAAAGGGGCAGUAUUUAAGAUAAAGGUUUAGGUAUCUUAUUUGCAGUAUUCCACAGUUCUGCUUCUAGACUUCCUGUAAUUUUAGCGACCUUUGACAGCAGAUUCUGUUUACAUCAGAAUUUGCUUUUGUUUCGGUUUUUUGGAGCCUGGGGAUCCAGAACCUGAAGUACUCCAGGCGAGCGCUCUACCAUUGAGCUGCGCCUCCAGCCUGAAUUGAAGUUUGAGCAAAGUACAGUGUUUGCAACUCCAACUGGAAGUUUUUUAAAGUUCUUCAAGUAGUAAAGUAGGUUAGCUUUGUUUGGAUGAGUAACUGGUACUAGUUAUGUUAUCUUACCAUCUGACAUGCGACUUUGGUAUUUUCUGCUUCUUAAGGAAAUUAUGAAAUAUGUAAAACUUAGUGACUUCCUAGGUAAGAAGAAAACUUGACAUUUUCAAAGGCUGUGAAUUUUUCUUGGAGGGAUUCUACCCCCGGCCCCCAGUAGUUGCUUUAAGUGUAUAAGCCCACCAGUUCCAGAUGAUAGGGGAUUAUGGAGUCAUGGUUCCCCUCAUUUGAGGAAGAGUGGGCCUGUGUUGUGACCAGGAGUGAGGGAAGGUGAACAGAGUUAUUUUUGUUUGUUUGUGCAAAUUAUUUUCUAUAUUAACUCUUUAAGCAUUAAUGUAUAACCGGAAAUUUUAAGAUGCAUGUUAUUGUAAGCGCAACAUAGUGGUGAUUUUGAGGUCUUUCUCUAAAACAUAAGUGGCACAUUUUAAAUUUCAAGUCUUAAAGUGCCUGAAAGUUAUUUGAUUCUCUCAACUAAUUUCUUUUGAGCCAUAUGUUUCCUCCUUUAAAUGUUUGUUGCAGAAUCACUAGUCUUCGUUUGAAGUACUCCCACAUUUCUAAAUGGCAUGAUUGCUCUAUUGAAGACAGUAGAAUCUGUUAACGUAAGACUGAAGAGAUUUUAUUGUGCAACUGUGUAAACUGGGGCUUUGCCCAGUCGGAUCUAAGUAUUUUUGUGUACAACUUGGUAAACACCAUAUUGCUGCUGUUUCUAAACCCUCCACCUACCGAAUUCUCAUGUUCAGCAUCGCAGAGGCAGAAAUACAAGCAUAAUCAUAUAUGGGCUUUGUUUCUUUUCAUUGAUUUUUCUUAGUGAUGAUUUCCCAGCCUUUUUUUUUUUUUUUGUCUCUUAGCUAUAAUUAUACAGACCUAGAAUUAUUCAAAUGUUUUCUAUUUUCAUGAUUAACUUUUAUUAGUGGACAAUAACAACUUAAGUCUUUAAUCCUCAUAUUGGUUAAAAACAUGAGGAGCCUUUUUUAUUUGAAUUACUUUUGUAAAAGAAAGCAACAGUCUGAAUAUUCAGGUGACUACUUUGGCAUAGUUCGGGUUUUUAUUAGUAUUUUUCCAGGUUAUGUUUUCCCAUGAACUAUUUUACUUUGUUAAUUUUGUGCUUAAUUUGGUGGCUAUAUCCUGCCUUAUUUAGAAUUUUAGAAAAUUGCCUUUUUGCGAUAAGUGCCCAGUUUUUAUUUCUAGUUUGAAGGUACGAGGACAUACAGACUGCUGAUAAAAGAAACCAGCACCCCUUUGCCCCAGCUUAUGUGUUACCAACAAAACCAUUCUCAGUACUGGUUUCAUUGUAGGGCCCAACCAGAAUUGGUCCUGCAUCUACAUGAGUGUUGCAUAUUUGAAAAGGGUUUGGGUGUGAUAAAUCACUACAGAAGUGCUGAAUGUAUUAAGACCUCGCUGCCGAUUGUAUUUCUAACGAUUAUUUUGUGUUUGCAGAAGUAUGUAGCACUUGUCCUCCAAGCUUUCAGGUGUAAGGGGGAAAGGUGAACCACAUUUUAAAGUCACUAAUGAGUGCAAUUUUUUUUUUUUUUGGAAUUGGGGUUCCCAAAAGGAAAUUUCACCGCCCAAAUCUCACAUACUUCUUAGCCUUUUACAAGCCAACAGAUUGACAUAAAGAUUGUCCGCAGUUCGUAAGAUCUAGCACAUAUACAAAAAUAAAACUUUAUAAAUU